GUCAAGUCCGCAUGGCCCUGACGCCCUGGGCGACACACACGCUACAAUGGCCGGGACAGCGGGCGGCCAAGCGGCAACGCGGAGCCAAUCCCUCAAACCCGGUCUCAGUUCGGAUUGGGGGCUGCAACUCGCCCCCAUGAAGGCGGAGUUGCUAGUAACCGCAGGUCAGCCAUACUGCGGUGAAUAUGUUCCCGGGCCUU
rnacentral:rRNA from 1 species